UACGAACUGUGCAAACGUUAUUCGGAAUCACUGGGCUUACAGGGUGCGUAGGCGGUCUGUUAAGUAGGGUGUGAAAGCCCCCGGCUCAACCGGGGAAUUGCGCCCUAAACUGGCGGACUGGAGUGAGAGUAGGGGUGUGCGGAACUUCCGGUGGAGCGGUGAAAUGUGUUGAUAUCGGAAGGAACGCCGGUGGCGAAAGCGGCACACUGGAUCUCAACUGACGCUGAGGCACGAAAGCCAGGGGAGCGAACGGG
rnacentral:rRNA from 1 species